UUCAAUUGUACCUAUCAUUCUCAACAUGAUGCAUAAAUAUGCAUAUGAAAAAUUGCUAAAUUGCCAAUACUAUCAUAUUCGGAAUUUGUAAUUUCAAAAGUAAGUGCGUUAUACAAAACCUUAAAGAUCGAUUGAUCCAUCAAGUUUAAAUCUUGAAUACGUCUCUGCUUGAUCCUCCAGUCACAAUCUCUUUCAAGACUCAACUCAUGCAUACAACCAUGAUUCCGUCUAUUAGAAUCACUAUAUAUAUCUUGAUAAGUUGAAGGGCACCUCAAUUUACUCUGAGGAUUUGAUGGAUGCGUCUCUCAUUCAUCUUGAUUGCUACGCCGGCUAUGUCCGCUUUCCCCAACUUCCACGAUACUAGCAAAUUUGACAUGUUUUUCAUCAUAAUCAUUGUUGUGUGAACUAGUCGAAUUUCGUGUGGAAACAUUCCUGGUGUUCGCCAUGGUGGCCGCGUUGGAGCUGCGCUGUGAAAUCUGGCGAUUAUCAAGUUUGCUACUGCAACAACAUCGUUUGAUGCAAGUGUACAUGUAAGUGAGGAAUCAAAAGAGCCAUGACGAACCAACUAAGAUCAGUGCUGCUGGAAGAAACCAAGGCCGAGAAUGAUUCGGCACGAAAAGGUAGAUGACAAGGAGGAUUCCUCCGCCAGUUACACAAAUACAAAAAAUGCAAGAGAUUAGAGGAACUCUUAUGUCCCCGUACCUAUCCUCCAUUCUUUUAUUGAUUCAGAAUCAAUCAAAUCUCCCCCAAUAUAACUUAAAAUAGCCGACGACAAUAAAUUAGUCAAAAGUGUGUAUGGAAAAAAGGAAUAAAUAUAGUGAUAAUCUUAAUUCUGUUUCUAUUGUCAUCUUUAGAUACUUCCUCUUCUUUCUUCCGAUUUAGGGUUGAGAUGCAAGAAAGAAGCAACAGGAUGAGCCAAAACAAAGAAGAAAUCAAGAAGAG
rnacentral:lncRNA from 1 species